GACGAACGCUGGCGGCGUGCUUAACACAUGCAAGUCGAACGGAAAGGCCCCUUUGGGGGUACUCGAGUGGCGAACGGGUGAGUAACACGUGAGUAACCUGCCCUUGACUUCGGGAUAACUUCAGGAAACUGGGGCUAAUACCGGAUAGGAAUCCUUGCUGCAUGGUGGGGGUUGGAAAGCUUCUGCGGUUUUGGAUGGACUCGCGGCUUAUCAGCUUGUUGGUGGGGUAGUGGCUUACCAAGGCUUUGACGGGUAGCCGGCCUGAGAGGGCGACCGGCCACAUUGGGACUGAGAGACGGCCCAGACUCCUACGGGAGGCAGCAGUGGGGAAUAUUGCACAAUGGGCGGAAGCCUGAUGCAGCAACGCCGCGUGCGGGAUGACGGCCUUCGGGUUGUAAACCGCUUUCAGCAGGGGCGAAGCUUGUGGUGACGGUACCUGCAGAAGAAGCACCGGCUAACUACGUG
rnacentral:rRNA from 1 species